CAGUGUUGUUUAUCGUCGACGUUUUCAGGUGAUAGCUGCUAGAAGCGUUUGGCCCCAGUUUACGUUGUUUUCCAGAUUACCAUCUGGAUCUUUCCCAGGAACAGUGAUCUCGUAAAGGUCCGAGCAAGGGCUCACCGUCCAUCGAUUACCAGUGGUGGAUGCAAGCGGAGAAUUUCUGAAACUGUGUUCGCAUACCUCACUCACUGCUCUGGCUGGAUUGAAGACACACAAAGGACCGAAACAGAAUCUGUCCUGCUAAACUGAACAGCCGCUAGUUUGAAGAGAGUCUACGAAGCUUGGAGUCUCCGCAGUAGUACAACCAUAAUGGAAUCGAUUAAUGGAUGUUUAAACACUAUCAGCACUGCAGUAGAGCGGUUCUCCGAAAGGAAAUGUUGCUUCAAAUGAAAUUGUUGCUACCAUCAAAAUGGAAAACAACAAACGUAUUCAACUGAUGGCUUGUGGAAUUUCUGCGUCGUUUUAUAUGUUGGUGAACCCGUACCCGAUACAUCAUUGGCCGAUGGUUCCGAACUAAUUCCGACCAGAAGCCAUCAAUCCGUAAAAUGAUGAACUGUUAUGCGUUUUCCGAGUCGCCGAAGUGCAACGUCAAAAGCAAGUUUCUGAACUCUAGCUGGACAAGCUGAUAUCAACACAGCACUUAAGACAUUUCGGUCGUAUAAUCAAGAGCCACCGGUGACUGAGGCUUCUUUGAUCCACCUUCAGCCCUAGUCCAACUUCUACUGGACUGAUGAUUCGCCUAAAGGUAGCGGUAGCAAUGGUUUCGGCAACGAUGGUAAACAUAAACAGCUGGAGCUGAGCAUUACGAGUGACUGUCCGUAAAACGGCAUUCACUCACGGGUAACGUUACCGUGUUCUGGAUGUGCGACAUCAAACGUGCGUUCGGCCACGGAAUGGGGGACCGAUAUUUUUUUCGUCUCGAAUGUACUCUACCAGCAUCAGCACCUGCACUAUUGUCAAACGAAUGUAAAGGAAUGACGCACUAGUGGAAGCGGAUCUCCAUACCUGCCAGGUAGACUACGGGAAUUGGUGGAGAAUAGAAAUAAAAAGAACACCACUCGAA